AUCACUUCUUGGCCUUUUGGCUAGGAUCAAAUGUAGUAUCUGUUCUUAGCAGAUUAA
rnacentral:snRNA from 1 species